rnacentral:rRNA from 1 species
CCUACGGGAGGCAGCAGUGAGGAAUAUUGGUCAAUGGACGCAAGUCUGAACCAGCCAUGCCGCGUGCAGGAAGACGGCUCUAUGAGUUGUAAACUGCUUUUGUACGAGGGUAAACGCAGAUACGCGUAUCUGUCUGCAAGUAUCGUACGAAUAAGGAUCGGCUAACUCCGUGCCAGCAGCCGCGGUAAUACGGAGGAUUCAAGCGUUAUCCGGAUUUAUUGGGUUUAAAGGGUGCGUAGGCGGUCGGAUAAGUUAGAGGUGAAAUCCUGAGGCUCAACUUCGGAAUUGCCUCUGAUACUGGUCGGCUAGAGAGUAGUUGAGGUAGGCGGAAUGUAUGGUGUAGCGGUGAAAUGCUUAGAGAUCAUACAGAACACCGAUUGCGAAGGCAGCUUACCAAGCUACGUCUGACGUUGAGGCACGAAAGCGUGGGGAGCAAACAGGAUUAGAUACCCCAGUAGUC